rnacentral:rRNA from 1 species
GCCCAGCACCGAAGCCUGUGGACAUUUGGCCACUAGGCAAUGUGGUGUUCAGGUUGAUUCGUGGCAUCACUGCUCCACCCUAAGUCCAGCACUGAGUAUGGUUUCUGGAAUUGGCCCACAGAGGGUGAAAGGCCCGUUGGGGUGGAGAUCAGGUUAACAGUUUUGCCCUGAGUCGACCUUGGAGUCGGGUUGUUUGUGAAUGCAGCCCAAAGUGGGUGGUAAACUCCAUCCAAGGCUAAAUACUGGCACGAGUCCGAUAGCGAACAAGUACCGUGAGGGAAAGUUGAAAAGUACUUUGAAGAGAGAGUAAACAGUGCGUGAAACCGCUCAGAGGUAAACAGGUGGAGUUGAACUGGAAGCUAUGGGAAUUCAGCUGGUGAGCUUGAUAUGAGCUUGGUCAUGCUGGUCGGCCAAUAGAGUCCGCUUAGCUGCGGGUUCCUACUCGUCAGGGUAGGGAUGUGCGUCGUACUUGUCAAGUAUUGUACGCUCUGUUGGUUUGACGGACCGGCUUGCUAGUGCACUUUCCCAUGGUGAUCACCACGACCGGCGCUGUUGCUUUUCUGUUGUGGUCGAACCGAUUAGGUCUGGUCCUUGUGGCUGAACUUGAUCGGGAUGGCAGGUAGCUCGUUAGUUGGUAUCACCGAUUAAUGGGUGUAAUGAGCUGACCAUAAUGGUUUUGUGCAAUGCGUCGGAGAUGGCGGCUUUAUGCAUUUGCGCGCGUGUUCUUAGUUGGCAGAGCCGGAUUUGAUUGACAUGUUUACCCGCAAACGCGAGUCUGUUGAUAGCCCGGUCCUGUUCAAUUUGGGAUUGCGUGUGUGAUGCUGUUAAUGGGCCCACAGUCUGUGGUGUUGUGGUAAACUAUCCACCUGACCCGUCUUGAAACACGGACCAAGGAGUUUAACAUGUGCGCGAGUCAUUGGGCAUUACGAAACCCAAAGGCGCAGUGAAAGUAAAGGCUCGGCUUGUCCGAGCUGAGGUGAGAUCCGGUCGUUCCUCGUGCAAGGUACUACCAAGCAUUCGGACGGCAGGCGCAUCACCGGCCCGUCUCACGGCGUAGCCAUGUGACCUUGUGUUGCGUGCACCACCGGGGCGGAGCAAGAGCGCACACGUUGAGACCCGAAAGAUGGUGAACUAUGCUUGCGGAGGUUGAAGCCAGAGGAAACUCUGGUGGAGGACCGUAGCGAUUCUGACG